GAUGAACGCUGGCGGCGUGCCUAAUACAUGCAAGUCGAGCGAACGGACGAGAAGCUUGCUUCUCUGAUGUUAGCGGCGGACGGGUGAGUAACACGUGGAUAACCUACCUAUAAGACUGGGAUAACUUCGGGAAACCGGAGCUAAUACCGGAUGAUAUUUUGAACCGCAUGGUUCAAAAGUGAAAGACGGUCUUGCUGUCACUUAUAGAUGGAUCCGCGCUGCAUUAGCUAGUUGGUAAAGUAACGGCUUACCAAGGCAACGAUGCAUAGCCGACCUGAGAGGGUGAUCGGCCACACUGGAACUGAGACACGGUCCAGACUCCUACGGGAGGCAGCAGUAGGGAAUCUUCCGCAAUGGGCGAAAGCCUGACGGAGCAACGCCGCGUGAGUGAUGAAGGUCUUCGGAUCGUAAAACUCUGUUAUUAGGGAAGAACAUAUGUGUAAGUAACUGUGCACAUCUUGACGGUACCUAAUCAGAAAGCCGCGGCUAACUACGUG
rnacentral:rRNA from 1 species